UUCUGUGAUGAUUUUUUACAUUCACACUGUAUAAGAAUGCAGUUUCAGUACUGCAUUUCAAUGAAUACACACACAAAAAAACUGAUUUAAUGACUCUGAUA
rnacentral:snoRNA from 1 species